rnacentral:pre_miRNA from 1 species
UGAACAGAUUAUUGUAUUCGACAUUAUUCACGACGUUAAAUAGGGGAUUACACUAUUUUUAAAACGGAAAGUGAAUCAAUUAACAUAAUAGACUCCU